UGGAAGGGACUUUCGGUCGUCGAAGGUGCCGCCGAACAUGCAUGAGUUUCGUCUCUGGAAGGGACUUUCGGCCGCCGAAGGUGCCGCCGAAAGUGGCUGAGUUUCGGCUCUGGAGGGACUUUCGACCGCCGAAUCUGCCGCCGAAAGUGCCCUGUUUAGCCUUCCUUUGCAUGUUUUCUAUGAUUGUUUUAAGGUGUUUUAGGGGG
rnacentral:lncRNA from 1 species